rnacentral:lncRNA from 1 species
CUGCAGGAUGGAGGAGAGAAGAGAAGACUCAUCAACAGAACAAAUGUUGCUGGAACAUUACUUAUAAUGGCAACAAUUGGAAACAAUCAAAGGAUGUCACUAUAGGGACUUGGGUUAAGAAAAUUAUGACACAUCAAAAGGGUCUCACUCCAUCAUCCAGGCUGGAGUGUGGUGGUGCAAUCACAGCUCGCUGCAGUCUUGACUUCUGGGCUCAGGCGGUCCUCCCACCUCAGCCUGCCAAGUAGCUGGGGCUACAGGCAUGUAUCACCAUACCUGGCUAAUUUUUGUAUUUUUUUCUGUAGAGACAGGGUUUCCCAGGCUGGUCUUGGACUCCUGGGUUCAAGUGAUCUACCCUCCUCAGCCUCCCAAAGUGCUGAAAUUAUAGGCAUGAGCCUAUAAUAAACAUCUACAUACCCACCAUCCAAUUUCAACAUUUACCAACACAGCCCAUCUUGCUUGAUGGCAUGAGCCACCGCAUAUAGCCAAUAAUUUCUUAAUAUCAUAAAAUAUCCUAUUAGUAUUCAAAAAUUUCCCCAACUAUCUUUUAAUUAUCUGUUAAAAAAUAUUUUUUUAAAACAGUUGGCUUGUUCAAAUUGGAACUCAAAAAAGAUGCACAUACUGAAUUUAGUGGCUACGUCCCUGAAACCUCUUUUAAUCUAUAAGAUGUC